UUACAGUCACGUCUUUCUCAUGUUUUUGAAUGCAUCCUCACUCCACUUCCACUUUGCCUCCACUCUUCUUCAGCUCUCUGUCACAUAAAAAUGAAGCAAAGUGAAGUGCGCCACAACAACAACUUGUACUCGCACAAAUGUUCCCCAACAGACUCUGAGGCUGCGAGGUUUAGACAGCAUGUGCAACCGAAUUGGUUGUUAUUUUAAUCCCUGUUUGUCGCAGUGUUUGUCUCAGAUUGUCUGCCUGAUUAUGGGAGAGGUUUUUAAGUGCGAGUCCAAACAGACCCUGUGAUUUAAAAAAUGAUAGCAUAACCGUGAAAUAUGCGCAUGAUUCAACCCAUUUCCCAAAUUUGUGCAGAUUCUUAAAGGCCCUCUUGUUUCGGGACAUUUUUGCACCAGCUGACUGCCAGAGCAGACUAGAAAGUGGAACAUGACGUCUGUGCUGAUGACUUUUAGUCCGUUUUCUUAAUCUUUGCUGUGUUUUAAUGUGCCAUCAACCUGCUAAGAACUGCAGAAGGUUUAUAUACACACAUGAUGAAUUUCUCAGAUAAACAUAUGCGCAUUUUCCCUUCUUAAAUAAAAUACUUUCUCAAAAAUAGGCGUGAAAAAGUCAAAACAGGGUUCAAAGUUGCAUGAAUACUUGGCUUGAAUUGUUGGGCUGCCACUGCUAUUUCACAAAUAAACACAAGUGUCACAUCGUAAGUGUUGGAUGUGUAAAUAACAAACUUAAAAGGUGAUGAAUUAUCAGUUUUCACAGCUUGUUUCAGCGGCUCUUAAAGGUGAUGCAAGCUGUUAUCGUGAUUUCAUAAAUCAGUCUGAACUUUGUGAACUUAAGGGAGUUUUUCUUUCCCUGAACUUGUUUAUUUUUCGGUCUAAAAACUGUUCUAUAAGGGGUAAUUCAGAGCUGUGGUGUCGCAUAGGUAGACUGGUUUUUGUUUUGUUUUCAGCUCUUGAAGAAGAAGCUGGAUUUAAUUACCUAACCCCCCGAUUUAAGACUGUUUUCAUCGCCGGCCUGCAGGUAGAACAGCUGUUGAGUUGUUUUAAAGGUGGGCAGAGACACUCAGGGACUCUCAGACUCUCACUGACUUUCAUUCUGGUCCAACGAGGAAAUGAAUCACAGCUCUCAUCAUCGAAUGAUUAUCAGCCCCCACAUCGCUGACUAAGAUUGUCCCUCGCAGUGCCGCUCUUUCUGCCGGUGACUCCAUCCGAUCUGUUAUGCAUACCCCACCCCACCCCAGCUCAUUCCCCUUCAGCCUCCCUCUCUUCCUCUAUCACUGCUUUAACCUGCUUAUCGGCAGAAACGCAGUGUCCCCCGGGCCCCUCAGACCAGCUAUUUACAUUUCAAAAGUGAACAUCAGAAGUGUUUCUCUCUGACUUUCCCCGCGGUGCUUCAUGUUCUGAGACUCAUCUGAUGCCAGAAAUAAAAACGUUUUUUGUUGGAUCAGCGCUGGAAGAAAGGCUUGUGCUGUCACUUUCACUUCUGUGUUUCACAGCCUGCAGUGAUACUUGUUUGUCGUGUUCUUUGCAGUUUGGGAGCAACAGUUGAAUAUAUUGAUUUUAGUAUGUGUUGUUGGGCUGCUCAUCAAUAUCUAGAGAAGCUUUUGCAGGAAAAUACUUGUUUUGUUUUUAUUUGUGCUUAUAAAAGUCUACAUUUUUCGUCCUGGUAGGUGUUACGUAAGGUCUGCUUUUUAUUAUAACAGCACGAGACUGGGCAUCUGCAUGAAUAUGAAUCAAACACUGUUGUUGAUUAGCACAGUGUGUAUUUUCCUAAUUAACGGAUUGCUGUCCGCAGCUGCCGGUUUAAAACUGCAGAGCCAGACCAUCUGUCCUCUGCAUAAUUAACAACUUCAAAUGAUGGCGCUUUACCUGCUGUUUGUAAAACUAGAUGUCAAAGUGUUGCAGACUGAAAGUGAAGGUUGUUGUAAUUAGAAAACAGUCCAACUGUUUGUGUGCUUAUCAGUCAGUGAUAGGGCUGGGCGAUAAAAGGAUAACAAUAUCAAAAAUUAAUUUCCCUUGAUAUUGAUAUAAAACAUGGUCACUGAGUCCACGCUGCGCCGAACCAAUCAUGUGCUGAAUUAGAUCCAAGUAGCAAACAACUGCAUAGUAGCAAACUGCAGCUACACGCAACCAUAGCACGCAACACGUGAAGCAGACAGCACUGUUGGUGAGAAAAAAAUGAGUGCUCCCCCCGGCAGAAAUGUAGGUGAAGGCUUGACAGAUGACAUGUUAGGGAAUAUCUGAGAUUGAUGAGUGAUUUUUUUAUAUUGUGAUAUAUAUAUCGAUGUCAACUGGUAUGAAAAAGAUAUAUCGUGAUAAACUUUUUCCCAUAUUGCCCAGCCCUAGUCAAUGAUAUAUAUUUUUCAAGGUGAUUUGUAGUGCAUGUUGAAAGUGAAAACUCUUAUUGCUUUAUGAAAAAUAGAAAUAUAUCAUAGAAGCCUGAUUCAUCAUCCAGCUCAUAUUUAUUUCCCCUGGCUGCUGUCGCUGUCAUUCUGAACAGUUUCCUGUCAAUACACCUGACCAAUCAUAGUCCAGUAUUUAGAAAUGGGAUGGGCUCUUCUCACCCUGGUCACCACCUGUUUGACCUCUGGCCCUCAGGCAGGCGGCACAGGUCAAUUAAAAAAAGAACUAACAGACUCAUGAACAGCGUCUUCCCCAAAGCCAUCCAGUACCUUAAUCAACACAUAUAAUGUCUCCAUAACCCAAUUUACAAGCAUAUUUGUGCAUAUCCGAAUGCAUGUCAUUGACUCUUUAUAUCUUCUGCCUGAUUAGGAGUCCAAGGUUUCCAAAAAGAAUGUUAAGCUUUUUUUCCAAAGUAAUGAAUCAACAAAUACAGAGAAUAAGCUCGCUAAAAUCUAAUACAAGUUUUUGUUUUUGAAAAUUUUUGAUUGAAAGUGAAGCAGAAAAAAACAGGGCUCGACAGUGCAACCGUUUCACUCGCAUUUGCGACCAAAAAUAGAUGUGUGCAAAAAAUGUAUUUAUGGGCACAUGUGCAUAAAAAAAAUCAGCCGAGGCAACAAAUGUGUUUUCAUGUAAAUACAGCAGUGAAGUUAGUUUUAGAUUGGAAAUUCGACGGAUAUUCACUGCAGAUCUACCGGUGUCUCCAUAACCGUGAAUAGCAACAGCAGCGCGGUUAAAUCUACUCGGCAUCCUCACUGUCUAGGGUGUUGGAUAAGGGACCGUCAAUGAAUUGCCGGUUGAUGUUUUUAAAAAAAGGCUGUUUUCCUUCAAUAGCUUCCAUGUCAUGUGUCCAAAAGACCUAAUAUUGAUUUCAAAUAAUAAUACUUUAUGUCGACCAAUAAGACAAACAUCAUUCCUUGCUCCUUGUGAAAAAAUUAGUGUCAAGCCAGUGCGGCUCCGUUCACCUGAAGCUGCUGUUUUCCGUCUGCUCUCGCACACACACAGUCAGCUAGCUCUCGCCUUGCUGUCAGCUGAUUGGCUGCAGGCUGGUUGCUGUGUCACAUGGAGUGAUCAGGACUACAGCUCGUCCUCUCUCUUCCUCCUCUGCUUCAGGCUAUCAUUUUUUUUCCCCCUUCCACACUUGAAUAACAAUGUGACAUUACAAGGCAGUUCAGGACAAGCCUGCUAUCUUUACCUGAUACGAUCGCAGCUAUUUUCACUGAGGUUUGCAAACAGUUUGAAGUGGUUGUAUAAUUGCAACAUUAAGUUUAAGAGAGAUGCAAAGUCUGUCACACCCAGGAGUUGUUUCACUUCUGUAUUUUUAGAGGAACCCUGCAAAAAAAAAAAGAAAAAAACGAGUCUAGUCAGAGUCUGUGAUGAUUAUCCAUCUGAGCGAGUGUUUGCAGUUUCACUUUGGUGCUUGCAGAGAUUUAUUAGGCAGCUCGCUACAACUGCUGCUGAAACGCUCAGUCAUAAUCCUCUUAAGUUUGUGUGUGUGUGUGUAAUGAAUACAGAGCAAAGAAAGUCAGAGCAGAGUGGAGAGAGAGUGCACAGGGAGUGUGUCGAGGGUCAGUGUCAGAAGAGCAGAUAUUUGCAAGCAGAGUAAUGCUAAGAUGUUUGUGUACUAUAAUCGAGUCUAUUUUAGAAAAGUCUUUGAUCACAGAGGCUGAUCCAGAGUCAGAUUAUGUCGUAUGGCUGCGUUAUGAAGAAGCUGAUUAUUCCUGUAUAAGAUCAUGAAAAUGAAUAGGUGGUUUAUUUCACUGUGAGUUAUUUAGUAACUGCAGUGCGGAGGAUUUGGAGUCUAACUUCUAAAGAUUGCAAAAUUACACCUGACUUGAACUUCCUCUAAGGUUGCGUCGUAAUUAAGCAGGGUCGCUGGUUUUAAGGUUUUAAGGAGGUUUGCUUGGAUUAAAACUAGCUGGUUCGAGGCAAAGCCAAU
rnacentral:lncRNA from 1 species